GUACACUCCUACGGGAGGCAGCAGUGGGGAAUUUUGGACAAUGGGCGAAAGCCUGAUCCAGCAAUGCCGCGUGUGUGAAGAAGGCCUUCGGGUUGUAAAGCACUUUUGUCCGGAAAGAAAUCCUUGGCUCUAAUACAGUCGGGGGAUGACGGUACCGGAAGAAUAAGCACCGGCUAACUACGUGCCAGCAGCCGCGGUAAUACGUAGGGUGCGAGCGUUAAUCGGAAUUACUGGGCGUAAAGCGUGCGCAGGCGGUUUGCUAAGACCGAUGUGAAAUCCCCGGGCUCAACCUGGGAACUGCAUUGGUGACUGGCAGGCUAGAGUAUGGCAGAGGGGGGUAGAAUUCCACGUGUAGCAGUGAAAUGCGUAGAGAUGUGGAGGAAUACCGAUGGCGAAGGCAGCCCCCUGGGCCAAUACUGACGCUCAUGCACGAAAGCGUGGGGAGCAAACAGGAUUAGAAACCCGAGUAGUCCCA
rnacentral:rRNA from 1 species